rnacentral:lncRNA from 1 species
AAGCCUUGAGAAAGACAGAAUUGCUUGUGGACCGUGCGUGUUCCACCCCACCUGGGCCCCAGACCGUGCUGAUCCUUGAUGAGCUCUCGGAUUCCUUGUGCAGAGUGACCGACUUGUCCUCCAAAAAAUCUAAUGAGAUAUGACCAUCCCCAGCUUACAAAUAAGAAAACUGAAACUCAAAAAGACCAGCAAGUGACCCCAGAGAACUGCACAAGGAUCUGCAGAGAGUGAGCAACAGGAGCCGAAGCCGUGGGCUCAUACCAGGCUCUCUUCCUGCCUCUUAAGCCCAUGGCACAUUUGGAGGGUGCUACCUGAAUUGAAUGGGUGUGCCUGUUGUUUUGAAGUUGGGGUCUACGGCCAUACCACCCUGAACGUGCCGGAUCUCGUCUGAAGUUGAGGAUAGGCAUCAUCUUUCACUUCAAAAUGAAGAAACGGAGGCAUUGGGAGGUUAAGUCACACAUAGCCAGCAAGUGGCAGAGAGUGAAAGGAACCAGCAUUGAUGAGCGCCUACUGUAUGCCAAACACUGUGCUUACUUCAAGAUCCUGUGAUCUGCUGGGUGGUUUUGGAGAUGUUGGAGUUUCAUUGACUUCCUACACUGCCCUGAAGAGGUCUUAUUAGUAUUAGCCCCAUUUUACAGAGAAGGGAACUGAAGCUCCGUGCAUGUAAUUAGACUCCGAAGGCUGUUGAUGGAUGGGGAAGGAGAGGGUCCCUCUCUGCUUUUAAGGAAUGCAUGGACAGUUAUGAUUCUGGCCUGAGAAGGAAAUGGAAGGGGCUCUGUGCCCGUCCCACAUAUCCUGCCCCACACCCAGGGCCUCAUGGAUCCCACCAGGGGAGGCUCCUGGCUUCCCAACAGAGGAAGGCAUCACUUCAGAAAGGGCUGUCCCCUCAGGCCUUCUGUAGGUGGCCGGUGGGGUCUAAGUGUGUGUGCCCUUCACUCCCCGCUUCAUUCCCCUCAUCCUCCCUGUGCUCCUGUAAUGCCCACUGGACCACUGGAGAGCCCCCGCAGACGGCAAACAGCAGCAGAGCACACAACCAGCCCUCUCAGGUCUAGUAAAAGUGAGCUUCCUACAGAAAUGCACAGGGGACUGAGAUGAGAGUCGAGCAGGCCUGGAAGGAUCCCGGGGAACAAACAAUGCUGCAGGGAAGAUGGAGGCCCCCUCGGCAAGCCGUCCUUUCUGGCCCCCGAGGAGCCCUGGGGUGGACCCUGGUCACUGUCUUGAACAUGUGACUCUAGUCUUUUUCCUCAUUUUCAAUAUCAGUAAAAUGAACUUAA